AAACAUUAACGUUAUUUUAUACAGUCUAUGCUUGUAACUUUAUUUGCAAGACAGAUGGACUGUAGAGACCAGAAAAUGCAUACGUUUACGGUCCGUAUAAGAUUACAGGUGUUCCUGGACAGUUUUAAACCAAGAUGUCUGAACGCCUCAAAUAAUCAGCAGUAAAGACAACAGAGACAAAUUCUCUAAUACCAAGGUCAAUGCAUUUGACUGCUGUCCAGCCCCGGGUUUCCACCGAAAACUUUAUAGGCGGGUCAAUAUAGGGUUCAACGUCAAA